rnacentral:rRNA from 1 species
GAUGAACGCUGACAGAAUGCUUAACACAUGCAAGUCAACUGGAAUUUGGGUUUUUAACUUAGGUUUGGGUGGCGGACGGGUGAGUAACGCGUAAAGAACUUGCCUCACAGCUAGGGACAACAUUUGGAAACGAAUGCUAAUACCUAAUAUUAUGAUAAUAGGGCAUCCUAUAAUUAUGAAAGCUAUAAGCGCUGUGAGAGAGCUUUGCGUCCCAUUAGCUAGUUGGAGAGGUAACGGCUCACCAAGGCGAUGAUGGGUAGCCGGCCUGAGAGGGUGAUCGGCCACAAGGGGACUGAGACACGGCCCUUACUCCUACGGGAGGCAGCAGUGGGGAAUAUUGGACAAUGGACCGAGAGUCUGAUCCAGCAAUUCUGUGUGCACGAUGAAGUUUUUCGGAAUGUAAAGUGCUUUCAGUUGGGAAGAAACAAAUGACGGUACCAACAGAAGAAGUGACGGCUAACUACGUG